UGAGGAAUAUUGGUCAAUGGACGGAAGUCUGAACCAGCCAAGUAGCGUGCAGGAUGACGGCCCUAUGGGUUGUAAACUGCUUUUGUAUGGGGAUAAAGUUAGGGACGUGUCCCUAUUUGCAGGUACCAUACGAAUAAGGACCGGCUAAUUCCGUGCCAGCAGCCGCGGUAAUACGGAAGGUCCAGGCGUUAUCCGGAUUUAUUGGGUUUAAAGGGAGCGUAGGCUGGAGAUUAAGUGUGUUGUGAAAUGUAGACGCUCAACGUCUGAAUUGCAGCGCAUACUGGUUUCCUUGAGUACGCACAACGUUGGCGGAAUUCGUCGUGUAGCGGUGAAAUGCUUAGAUAUGACGAAGAACUCCGAUUGCGAAGGCAGCUGACGGGAGCGCAACUGACGCUUAAGCUCGAAGGUGCGGGUAUCAAACAGGAUUAGAUACCCUGGUAGUCCGCACAGUAAACGAUGGAUGCCCGUUGUUAGUUCACUUAAGAAUUAGCGACCAAGCGAAAGCAUUAAGCAUCCCACCUGGGGAGUACGCCGGCACGGU
rnacentral:rRNA from 1 species